CCUACGGGGAGCAGCAGUGGGGAAUAUUGCACAAUGGGGGAAACCCUGAUGCAGCGACGCCGCGUGAGUGAAGAAGUAUUUCGGUAUGUAAAGCUCUAUCAGCAGGGAAGAAAAUGACGGUACUUGAUUAAGAAGCCCCGGCUAAGUACGUGCCAGCAGCCGCGGUAAUACGGAAGGUCCGGGCGUCAUCCGGAUUUAUUGGGUGUAAAGGGAGCGUAGGCGGCAUGUCAAGCGUGCUGUGAAAUGUCCGGGCUCAACCCGGGCCGUGCAGCGCGAACCGGCGUGCUUGAGUCCGCGGAAAGCAGGCGGAAUGCGUCGUGUAGCGGUGAAAUGCUUAGAUAUGACGAAGAACCCCGAUUGCGAAGGCAGCUUGCUGCAGCGGAACUGACGCUGAUGCUCGAAAGCGCGGGUAUCGAACAGGAUUAGAUACCCUGGUAGUC
rnacentral:rRNA from 1 species